AUUGAACGCUGGCGGCAGGCCUAACACAUGCAAGUCGAGCGGAGAGGCGGACGGGGGCGUAAUGCCUAGGAAUCUGCCUGGUAGUGGGGGAUAACGUCCGGAAACAGGCGAUAAGACAGCAGAAGAUCAGAGGAGCCUAGGUCGGAUUAGAUAGUUGGUGGGGUAGAGGCCUACCAAGGCGACGAUCCGUAUCUGGUCCGAGAGGAUGAUCAGUCACACUGGAACUGAGACACGGUCCAGACUCCUACGGGAGGCAGCAGUGGGGAAUAUUGGACAAUGGGCGAAAGCCUGAUCCAGCCAUGCCGCGUGUGUGAAGAAGGUCUUCGGAUUGUAAAGCACUUUAAGUUGGGAGGCGUUACCAACAGAAUAAGCACCGGCUAACUUCGUGCCAGCAGCCGCGGUAAUAC
rnacentral:rRNA from 1 species